GAUGAACGCUGGCGGCGUGCUUAACACAUGCCAGUCGAACGAUGAAGCCCAGCUUGCUGGGUGGAUUAGUGGCGAACGGGUGAGUAACACGUGAGUAACCUGCCCUUAACUCUGGGAUAGGCCUGGGAAACUGGGUCUAAUACCGGAUAGGAGCGUCCACCGCAUGGUGGGUGUUGGAAAGAUUUAUCGGUUUUGGAUGGACUCGCGGCCUAUCAGCUUGUUGGUGAGGUAAUGGCUCACCAAGGCGACGACGGGUAGCCGGCCUGAGAGGGUGACCGGCCACACUGGGACUGAGACACGGCCCAGACUCCUACGGGAGGCAGCAGUGGGGAAUAUUGCACAAUGGGCGCAAGCCUGAUGCAGCGACGCCGCGUGAGGGAUGACGGCCUUCGGGUUGUAAACCUCUUUCAGUAGGGAAGAAGCGAAAGUGACGGUACCUGCAGAAGAAGCACCGGCUAACUACGUG
rnacentral:rRNA from 1 species